rnacentral:rRNA from 1 species
GACGAACGCUGGCGGCGUGCCUAAUACAUGCAAGUCGAACGCAGUGGGGACGGGUGAGUAACACGUGGGUAACCUCCCAUCAGAGGGGAUAACACUUGGAAACAGGUGCUAAACCGAUACUGAUGGAUGGACCCGCGGUGCAUUAGCUAGUUGGUGAGGUAACGGCUAACCAAGGCCACGAUGCAUAGCCGACCUGAUAGGAUGAACGGCCACAUUGGGACUGAGACACGGCCCAGACUCCUACGGGAGGCAGCAGUGGGGAAUCUUCCGCAAUGGACGAAAGUCUGACGGAGCAACGCCGCGUGGAGGAUGACACUUUUCUGAGCGUAAACUCCUUUUGUUAGGGAAGCGGUACCUAACGAAUAAGCAUCGGCUAACUCCGUGCCAGCAGCCGCGGUAAUAC